AUUGAACGCUGGCGGCAGGCCUAACACAUGCAAGUCGAACGAGUGGCGGACGGGUGAGUAAUGUCUGGGAAACUGCCUGAUGGAGGGGGAUAACUACUGGAAACGGUAGCUAAUACCGCAUACCAUCAGAUGUGCCCAGAUGGGAUUAGCUUGUUGGUGGGGUAACGGCUCACCAAGGCGACGAGCCCUAGCUGGUCUGAGAGGAUGACCAGCCACACUGGAACUGAAGAACGGUCCAGACUCCUACGGGAGGCAGCAGUUGGGAAGCGUGCACAAUGGGCGCAAGCUCGAUGGAGCCAGGCCGUGUGUAUGAUGAAGGCCUUCGGGUUGUAAAGUACUUUCAGCGAGGAGGCGUUACCCGCAGAGGAAGCACCGGCAAACUCAGUGCCAGCAGCCGCGGUAAUAC
rnacentral:rRNA from 1 species